AUGGUCCUGGGAUACUCCCAGGCGGAGGCUCAGCGGAUCGCCAAUCGCUUGAAUUGUCGAUUGGGAUCCUUCCCGACCACUUACCUUGGCAUGCCGAUUAGUGACACAUGGCUACUGGAGAAAGAAUUUCACCCAAUAGUCGCCAAACUCCAACCUAGGUUGGAACCUUGGCAGGGGAGAUGGCUAUCUAAAGCCGCUCGAGUCAUUUUGAUGAACUCCUCCCUCAUUAGUAUUUUCAUGUACAUAAUGGGAUUCUAUAGUCUACAUGAAUCCCUUCAUCAUGAGGUCACCAAACUCCUAUCUAGAUUCUUCUGGGCGGGUCAGAACAAUAAACAGAAGUACCGCAUGGUGAAGUGGUCCGAGAUCUGCAAGCCUAAGGACCAGGGCGGCCUGGGAGUCAUUUCAUCCAAACGGAUGAAUAUUGCCCUCCUCUCCAAAUGGCUCUGGCGUAUUCAGACCGAUACGGGAGGCCUGUGGCUCGAGAUUAUCCGCGCGAAGUAUCUCCGCGGGCAGCCACUGGCAUUCGCUCCCAGAUCUGGAGGAUCCCAAUUCUGGCAAUCAGUGAUCCGGCUGAUGCCGGUCUUGCGCAUAUGGACUUCUAUUAAAGUUGGUUCCGGGUCUGGCACAUUAUUCUGGCUCGAUCGGUGGGCGGGGCCUCGCCCGUUUGUGGAAUGCUUCUACGCGUUAUUCUCGACUUGUGCCCGACCACAACUCUCUGUAGCCGUGGCCUUAGCUGACUUGGGUGCCAUUGCCUUUCGCCGUACCUUCGGGGCGGUUGAGCUCGAGUAA
rnacentral:rRNA from 1 species